rnacentral:rRNA from 1 species
UACGAAGGGGGCGAGCGUUGUUCGGAAUUACUGGGCGUAAAGGGCGCGUAGGCGGCACUGUUAGUCAGGCGUGAAAGUCCUGGGCUCAACCUGGGAACUGCGCUUGAUACGGCAGAGCUAGAGGAUGGAAGAGGGUCGCGGAAUUCCCAGUGUAGAGGUGAAAAUUCGUAGAUAUUGGGAAGAACACCGGUGGCGAAGGCGGCGACCUGGUCCAUUACUGACGCUGAGGCGCGACAGCGUGGGGAGCAAACAGG